CCCCAGUCGCCCUGACAAGCCUGUGCUCCAGGGUCUCACGUUCACGCUGCUUCCUGGAACGGUAACCGCGCUGGUGGGGCCCAAUGGGUCAGGGAAGAGCACCGUGGCUGCCCUGCUGCAGAAUCUGUACCAGCCCACCAGGGGCCAGCUGCUGCUGGAUGGCCAUCCCAUCUCGGAAUAUGAG